GCCGGAGUAGCUCAGGUGGUAGAGCAGCGCUCUUGUAAAGCGCAGGCCGUCGGUUCGAGUCCGACCUCCGGCU
rnacentral:tRNA from 1 species